GUUAAUUUUUACUAAAGAUCCUUAAAACGUAGCAAAAAAAAAAAAACAAACACACAAAUUUUUCUCAUAGAAAUCUGUUUACCAAUACUUAAAAGAACAGAUGUUGUUCCCUUUGGAGUUCACUUCUCACCAUGCUGAAUUCUUCACUCCUGCCUUCGCACAGAAGAAGAGGGAACCCAGGUGAGAAAGCAAAGCAGAGCCCUUUGAUGUAGAUAAAAAUACAGCCACUGAAGCAUAAAGGCAGAGAGAAGAGCAGAGUACAGAUUGACUCCUUCCUCUCUCACCCUCCCACCUGCCCCAAAAGUGAAUUCCUGAGACAUUAGCUUUCCCAAUGCAUUAAAUAAGAAGGAAAGACCCAGGGCAGGUUAGUGACGCAGUUCUCAUGAUUUCUGACACAAAGCUAACCCUGCUUUUGGGCUGAAAAACGGGGAGAUCCAAAGAGACUGGCAGAUUACAGAAAUUAUGAUAGAAACGUUGCUAUUCAUGCUCAGAAGCCACAGCGUUUGGCAGUUUUACAAAAUGUUAUUUUGUGAUUGAGAUUUAAGAGUUAUUUUAUGUCAGCAUUUUAUUUUUCAAACAAUUAAAAAUAUGCUGUGAAGAGAGGAGAUUAUGGGAGAUCUUUCGUGACUGUAACUGGAAUUCUGUGCCAAGAAAGAGGAGGUGUGGUUUCCCAAAUGAUUUUGGAUUCAGAUUUUUCUUUAAGUAGCACAUGAAGUUUUGGAUGCUGUCAGGAUGGAACUGGCAUGUUGUCAGGAAAGCGUCUGGCUACAUUAUAUAGGCAAAAUUUGUUACCUUUAACUCCUGCUGGCAACAGACCUUCUCAAAGGGAUUUCGGAGGAUGUCUCUCUGUUGCAAAUCAGUGUUGGAAGAGUUACAGAAAGCAUCUCCCACAGGUGUUGAGUGUUCCUGGCAGGGUAGUUGUUUCCCUUGUACAGCAACAAAUUAGCUAUUAGCAUCUGAACUAGUGGUAUUAGGAACUCUUAACAUGCAGUGGAGAAAAGGGGGGAUUUUUAGGUACUGUCAACUUCGGAACUAGACAUGCUGUCUAGUUUAGAGCAGACUCCGGAGGAAUGAGGAAAUGUGAAGGCUGGUGACAACUCCCUCCUUCCCUCUGUCACCACAAAGAACUAACACAAGAAUGCCUAUCUGAAUCCUGUUAACAUCAUAAACAUUUGGAUAACAGCUGACUUUUCUGUACAGCCUUCGAAAACUGCACUUUCUACUCCCUGAAACCAACUCCUGAAAAAUGUUUUCUGCAUUCCCACAAGUCCUAAUUGCAGGGGAUUUCAGACGAGCUGUCCUUUUUGUCUACAUUGUUCUGAUCCUUUUCACUCACAUAGGUUUUCCUUAGGCAAAACAUACAUUUAAUGUACAAUGCAGAACCAACUGGGAAGAGCAAAAAUUUGAGCUGAUUUAUUUUUUUACCUUUUGAAAAGCGAAGUAACAAAAUUCUGGGAUACUCGCACUGCUUCAGCAUCAUCACAGACAUGCUGCUGCUAAGCUAGUCCAGGUCUCAAAGCAGUGAGAGGACAAUUGUGUCUGCAGGAGCAUCUGUCUGAGAAUAGGAGUGAAUUUGGACAACAGAUGUCAAAGUUGUUGGGAGACAAUGAAGAGACAAUAAAAACAACCAAAAUUGGUUUAAUGUCACUAGGAAGGCUGUGUCAUUUUUCAGUUUUUUAAAUCUCUGACAGUGGGUAGUAGGCUGUGGGCAUAGAUUCUUCAUUUCUAAUAAGAGGAGAAAAAGUAAACCAAUAUUUAAAAGAAUCAUUAGGGAAUAAGGAUCGAACUGAGAUUUGGAGGAAAAAUUUAUUAUAAUGCAAAUAUUCAAUUUUAGUGAGUGAGAUAUUUAAAGGAACUUACAUGGUGUUACUCUAGAAAGUUAAUGUCCUCUUUAUUCUAGAAAGUAAUGAACAUGAAACAGAAGUUCCUAGUAAUGGUUUAGUCUGGAAACGAGCUGCAUUUGUCAAAAGCUUGUGCCAGCUUUUCUGUUCCACUGAUUCCAGCUCUAGCUGUCUAUCAUCACUGCCAGAAACAUUUUUUUCUGUGUGCUCUGUCAUUCUCUUGCUUGAUAAAAGUAUAAAAACCCAAACCCACCAUAUAUUUUACUGGGCUAUUGGAAUAUGGUGCUUAGCAAAGGUUAGUGUGGAUUUUUAGAAAACUGAUAUAUAUAUGUUGUUAUGUUUUCUGAGUUUGUUUUUUAUCCUCUGAAAUCACUUGAAAUGUAAAAUAUCUAAAAUAUUUUUUAAUAAAAGUCUUAUAAACAAAACAGAAAGUAGUUCCCACUUACCUUUCCCCAUGCAGUUCUGGUAUAAUGGAAAUAAGUUUUUUGGCUCAGCUCAUUAGUACCUAUCCCUGACCAAUACUUAUCUGUUUUUGAUGAAUGAGUACGUCAAAAUUAUGUUGUACAGAUGUAUUGCAAGUGAUUAUGGAGAGAAAAUGGUAUCAGGCUUGUGUAGUUUACCAGUCUAAAAACCAGUGAUGUCGUUAAUAAUCUCCAGAUAAACAAGCUCAGAAAGCUUCUAACAAGUGUGUUUUAGCUGUUUUGCUAGGAAGUGCCUUCAUUUGCAAUUCUAACAGUACAGAACAUUGACAGUAGAUUGUGAAUAUAUUUCUAUGCUUCUGUAGCAAUAGCUUUACGGCCAAAUAGUGCUUAAAAGUUUCAGGGUGAAUGUUAUUUUCUUAGUAUUAUCUGCAAUUAAAAGAGCCUUCAGAUAUAAUCAUUUUCUUUGCCCUGUAGGGAAAUUUUAAUCCCACCACAUUUCAAGCUUCCUUUUUCUUAAAACAACUUACAGUGAGAAUAGUAUUCUGUGAAAAACAUUUUUUUGGAUCACCUCUCUGACUGCACAUUUUAAAAUAAAAAGCUGAGUAAUUGUCCAUCCUGAGAUUGUUCUUCUCCCACUAGCCACCAAAAUUCUGGAUGCACCUUGUCUUUUUAUUUUAUCUUUUGUUUUUAAAUCACAUGUUUUGCAACUUGCCAGUGCUGGUGAUGACACUAAGAAGUAAGGAGAAUGGUUGGCACCUAUAGAGCACAACAGGGAUAAAACUGGGUGCAGAUAUUACAUUUAGUGGAUUUACCACCCUUGUUGAUAUUCAAAAGCCAUUUGUACAAGGUUCUGCACAACC